GACGAACGCUGGCGGCGUGCUUAACACAUGCAAGACGAACGGUAAGGCCCUUCGGGGUACACGAGUGGCGAACGGGUGAGUAACACGUGGGUGAUCUGCCCUGCACUUCGGGAUAAGCCUGGGAAACUGGGUCUAAUACCGGAUAGGACCCUGGGAUGCAUGUCCUGGGGUGGAAAGCUUUUGCGGUGGGGGAUGGGCCCGCGGCCUAUCAGCUUGUUGGUGGGGUGAUGGCCUACCAAGGCGACGACGGGUAGCCGGCCUGAGAGGGUGACCGGCCACACUGGGACUGAGAUACGGCCCAGACUCCUACGGGAGGCAGCAGUGGGGAAUAUUGCACAAUGGGCGCAAGCCUGAUGCAGCGACGCCGCGUGAGGGAUGACGGCCUUCGGGUUGUAAACCUCUUUCAGCACCGACGAAGCGCAAGUGACGGUAGGUGCAGAAGAAGGACCGGCCAACUACGUGCCAGCCGCCGCAGUAA
rnacentral:rRNA from 1 species